UACGAAGGGGGCUAGCGUUGUUCGGAAUUACUGGGCGUAAAGCGCACGUAGGCGGAUUGUUAAGUUAGGGGUGAAAUCCCAGGGCUCAACCCUGGAACUGCCUUUAAUACUGGCAAUCUCGAGUCCGAGAGAGGUGAGUGGAAUUCCGAGUGUAGAGGUGAAAUUCGUAGAUAUUGGGAAGAACACCGGUGGCGAAGGCGGCUCUCUGGACCGAUACUGACGCUGAGGCGCGAAAGCGUGGGGAGCAAACAGG
rnacentral:rRNA from 1 species